GUCCGGGUGGUGUAGUUGGUUAUCACGCUAGUUUCGCACACUAGAGGCCCCUGGUUCAAACCCGGUCUUUAGACA
rnacentral:tRNA from 1 species